AAGCUUUACCCUUGAACUCUGAAGUGCUUUCCUAUAUGUGGUUGGGGGAAAGGGAACAAAUAUUAUUUUAAUUUGUACGAUGAGCAAAGGUAUCACCAGUGUAAAUCAUUAUUCUGCAAUCCACACACAGGUUUGGACAUUACUGUUUUGCAUAUCUUGUGUUCACUUCCGUUUCCCUCCAUUUUUCCAAAACUAUACAAGAAGUAUAUCCAUCCUACAACUUGCUUUGAGAGACCAGGACAUGUCUUAAUCCUGUCUUCAUUCUAUCCACUCUGCUCCAGUUGAUUGGGACUUGGUCUCGGGACAGUCCUGCCCCGUGAGCAUCCCCCAUGGGAGAGGUGGCUGGCUUUUCUGUUCACUUCCACUGCGUGAACUUGCCUCGGUGGCCUCCUCAGGAAAGCGCACACUGAAUGAGAGGAUGAGCUAGAGUCGGGCUGGCUGGAGGGAAGGGAAUCCUCCCUCUGGCAACUGCUCUACCCAAACUCAGAUAGCAGGGGCCAGAGAACAGCAACCAGGUAAAAGCUUUGUCCAUCCCAAAGUCAGCUCUGUCUCAUUCACUUCAUCCUCUCCUUGCUCUGGAGCAGGAUUUCCUCCAGGUCUCCCCUAAUGUGCAUGGCAGACAGGGAGAGGACUGGGACCAGGACUGGGGAGGACACGUCAGGAGUUCGCAGUGAUAAUGGAACCAGAGACACUGUGGGAGCAUCUCUUACGCCUAUUUGCGUCUACCUAGAACGUCAUCCUAUCCAUGCUGUUUCCUUCAAAUAGAUUUCAACAAUGAUGGUUGAAAAGGGAGUGAUUUAGGGAAAACAGGACCCAAACAUUCAUCUAGGAUUUACCCAGGGAAUGUCUUCCAGUGCCAGUAUGUUCCCAGCCCUUUACAGGAGCGACCUACUUGGGACAAGUGAAGAUGAGUUUCACUUUUAAGGACUGAUUCAUGAAAAAGUGGAGAAAUACGCUGAAUGUUCCCAGGUACACUAACAGUGUAGAAGCAGAAGGGUUUCUCCCUGUUUCUCCAAGACUAAACCCUCCAAACUUCUUUGGUUCCUUUUCAGUGCCAUGAGGCCUUCUAGAAAUUACAGUUAGGUGUCAUCUUUGUCCAGUUUUCCAAGAUACCUACCACCGUUCUGCUAAGAUUUUAGUUGUGAUGGAGAGCGAAGCCCUUUUGGAUUGAUAACUGAUUCUUGCUAUACAUGUGGUCCCUAGAUAGAAAUUUGGCAUCUUAACUGACCACAGACACAAACACAUACACACACACACACACACACACACACACCACUCACACCACUCACACAUUCACUCAAACUUUCAUGCUGCUUUCUUUUUUCCCUUUGGACUUGUCUUCUGCAUCACCAAAUCUCAUUGGCCAGUGGCAUGGGCUACACGCUGGGCUUAUGCCAGCUACCCCUAAGGCCCUGCCUAAGUGUGCCCCCUUGCCCUCCACCACUCACACCUACAGAGUCCCUUCUUUCUAGUCAGCUCUGUCAGAAGGUCAGCUGGUCUUGCACCCUACAAGAGCAAAAUCAGCAGUGCCAAGGGAACCUGGCCCUGUGCUGCUGGCAAGGAAAGGAGUUUUAGAUGGGAGUUCCCUGUGGAGGGUGAUGGGUCUCUAUGGCCUGACCUCAUGAUCAACUGGUAUGGUACUGACAGAGGAUACCUGUCAUCAUGGGUGCCUAGGUGGGUCAGUCAGCUAAGCAUCUGCCUUUGGCUCAGGUCAUGAUCCCAGGGUCCUAGGAUCAAGUCCUGCAUCUGCUCCCUGCUGAGCAGAGAAUCUGCUCCUCUGUCUCCCUCUGCCCCUCCUCCCCUUCUCAUUCUGUCUCUUUCUCUCUCUUUCUUAGAGAAAAAUUUUUUAAAAAUAACUUGUUUUUAUUUCUCUCUUUCUUAGCUCUCUCUCUCUAAUAUAUAAAUAAAAUCUUUAAAAAAAGAUACCUGUCAUCAUGACAGAUGGAUAAAAUGAUUCAUAAAAUCACAAACCUCACCCCCUGUGUAUUAAGUGAUAUCUGCCCCCCACCUAGAGCAGAACUUUGCCUAUGACCUUGUAAAACAUAACCAUCAAGUCUUCUGAGAACUUGUGAGUGGCAAAGAGAAAGCAGCCAAUGGCUGAGGACCAAAAGGACCUGAAGAAGUGCAGUGUAAGCUCUGAGAGCAUGAUUUUUAUUUUUCAUCUGAAUGGCUUAUUGUAUUUCUACACUUUGGCCUUUUAAUAGUCAUGUGUCUGGCUAUAUUAAACAGGGAGAUUUUCAGUUGUCUUCUUUCUGCCUGUUUCUAGAAGUUUCUUUUGGUCUUGAGGCAUAAAGAGAAGAAAGUUUUCCUAGAUUUUGGCUUGAACCAUGAAUUUUUCUCUGCUCUGCUUCAAAGAUUAUUAGUCAUAAUCCCUCCCAUCACCUUCUGAGUCUAACAGGCUGCCCUCUGACUGGGAGGUCCAAGGACAAAGGAACAAGACUUCCUUACUCUGUCUUUAUCCUGCGACCCUGCUUCUUCCGGGGCUUGUCUGGAGUGAAGCUAUCAGUUUCUCACAAAUAUUUUCCUUCCAGAUUAUCUCCUGAUCAUUAAGCUAUAGAUAGUAAGACAACCACAGGAGAAGGAUCCCAUUCAAUGCCUGAGACAUAAGAACACCCUGAAAAUGAGGAGUUUGGAAGUCAUCAAAAGGGUUUCGUAGAGGCCAUUUGAUACCUACCCAUCAUUCCUAAAGGUCAAGAUGUGUAACAAGAACCUAAUUUAGGCAUACAGAGUAAGUCUGGUAGUCAGGCUUUUAGCCUCAUCAAACCAUAAUUAUAAAUUUUGCUGAAGAGGAUAAUGGCAUCUCCAUCCUGAGGGACCUGGGGAAAAAAUGAAAUAUCAUUGUCUAAGAGUUAGAAACCCUUUAGCAAAGAGGCCACAAAAGGGCAAUUUGUUUUCAAGAGACCCAUUUAAGCCCCAAUUUAGUAAAACACUCGCUGAUAAGAGCCCAGGUCAGUUCAUAGUGAAGCUCUUGGUCACCACAUCCAGGUUCCUCAUCAGCUCCCUCUGAAGAGACAUAAGGAAAAGAGACAAGGAAACGAAGUGUCCUACAACUAUCAGGGAUGGCAUAGUUUUUCCCUUUCCCCAAGCCAUUCUCUCUAUUCCAGCCUCCUGCCCAACCCCCACUUUCCUUUCCUCCCCUCAGUCUUGUCAGAACAGGGAGUUGGGAGUAGUCCAAUAUGCAGAUUCUUAAAUAGUUUAUGAAGCUAGUUCUGGUUUUAACUUUUUUUUAUUUCAAAGCAAUGAAACCUUGCUUUGUGAAGCCAGAUACCAAUGUAGCAAGUGGUUUCUGCCAGACUUCCACAUGGUUGGAACACACUUGAACACCACACAUACACACACACUCAUACACACUUUCAUCCUCAUACACACACACACACACACACACACACACACACACACUUCCUUAACAGACAGGUGCAGGUGCUGGGGUUGAGCCCUGCACAAAUGAUAUUGUCCUCCCAAAGGGCUGAGCACUGUAUAGAGAGAUGUGGAGAGAGGACCAGAGUAACUUCCUUGAGUAGAAAUAGUGCCAUCGGGCCCUAUUAUUACUGUGAACUAAAUAUUAUUUAUCUACAUUGAGAGAUACAACUACAUCUACAAUCAGACUUUUCCCUCACAUGAUUUUAAGAGGCUUGCUCCAGAAAAGAUGCAGUGGUAGAUUCUUCAGCUCUCCGAUAUACUGGAAAAGCCCUUUGAUCAGUCUCUGAAAGGGAAUUAGAGAUUGCCAGCAAAAUAUAUUGAGCUGAGUUGAACAAAUCAAUUCAACACUGAGAGUAGAGUCAAGAGUUGGGACUUCCACAGAACUCCCCUCAGUCUCCACUAAAUUAAGGAAGACAAAAGACAAAGACUAGAUAAUUAAACAAAAGCUUGAAAUGUUACAUCACCAGAGUCAAAUAUUCUCCCUUCAGAUUGCAUACUGGCCUCUUCAUAGCUGUACCGUCUUUUGGAGGGCGUCCCAUGCAUCCGACUUUCCAGAAUCUAAUCUGACUUGAUAAGGUUCCUAGAAAGGGCAACAUGACAUUUAAUCUACCCUAAAUCCAACAUUUACUAUAAAUUUGCCAUCUAAAAAUCAUUGGUGUACCUCAUACAUAAGAAAGUGUUUCACCUAUGUCAUUAUUAAAGAGGUCUCUUGGUGAAGAGGUUGUAAAUCUUAAGGGAGGGUAAUUUCUAUGUGAAGAAACACAGAAAUGGACAGGAUUUUUCCUAUUCACUGUUUGAGCCUAGAGAACUGUUCUGAUGCUCCUCGAGUGUGUAAGCAGAGGGACGGGAAUGAGCGGGCACCAGCCGGGCAGUGGGUCACUGCUGACGCACGCCGUACUGCAUGCCUGCGGGCCUCAGACACUCUGCAUGCAGUCUCUCCUGAGCCCGCAACCCAGAGAGGAAAGAGAAGGCUCCCUUCUACAGGGUCACAGGAGGAGCAAAAGAGGACAGGUCACUGUGUCCUGUGCCAAACCCCCUCCCCUGAGAUUUCCCA
rnacentral:lncRNA from 1 species